CCUAUUACUGAUGAAAGUUUAGUCUGUGAUGUACUUGCUGGUUUGGGACCUGAGUAUCGUCCCUUUGCUAGAGUUCAAGAAGCUCGGCACUCAUCAAAUUCUUUUGAUGAAUUGUAUGCGUUGCUGCUUAGUGAAG